AGUGAACGCUGGCGGUAGGCCUAACACAUGUAAGUCGAACGGCAGCACAGUAAGAGCUUGCUCUUACGGGUGGCGAGUAGCGGACGGGUGAGGAAUACAUCGGAAUCUACUCUUUCGUGGGGGAUAACGUAGGGAAACUUACGCUAAUACCGCAUACGACAUACGGGUGAAAGCAGGGGAUCUUCGGAACUUGCGCGAUUGAAUGAGCCGAUGUCGGAUUAGCUAGUUGGCGGGGUAAAGGCCCACCAAGGCGACGAUCCGUAGCUGGUCUGAGAGGAUGAUCAGCCACACUGGAACUGAGACACGGUCCAGACUCCUACGGGAGGCAGCAGUGGGGAAUAUUGGACAAUGGGCGCAAGCCUGAUCCAGCCAUACCGCGUGGGUGAAGAAGGCCUUCGGGUUUUAAAGCCCUUUUGUUGGGAAAGAAAAGCAGCAGGUUAAUACCCCGCUGUUCUGACGGUACCCAAAGAAUAAGCACCGGCUAACUUCGUG
rnacentral:rRNA from 1 species